rnacentral:rRNA from 1 species
UUGUACUGUGAAACUGCGAAUGGCUCAUUAAAUCAGUAAUAGUUUAUUUGAUAACCGAAUACUAGCAAUAGUAACUUGGAUAACUGUAGUAAAUCUAGAGCUAAUACAUGCGAAAAGGGGAGACUUUACGGGAUCCCUGUAUUUAUUAGAUAUCAAGACCAACCCAAUUUGCAUUCGUGUGAUUGGAGGUUAAGAUGAUUCAUAAUAACUGAGCGGAGCGCAUGGCCUCGAGCCGGCGCCGAUUCAUUCAAAUUUCUGCCCUAUCA